CUAGCAAUUCUCGAAACGUUCGUAGCCCUAUGAACUUCUUAAGCCCAUUCUUAACACAGUGGCUACGAUGAAAGUUAAGGAUUCUUAGGGCUACGAUAGUUUCGAGAAUAAUGGCCCAGGCCAUUUUGUGCCCAGC